ACAUUGCAUUUCUUGAACGCUUUGAGAUAACUACGGUGCCAGUGGGAUAUUAUUCCAUUUUUGUUACAGAAAAUCAGAUUAUUUUUCCAAAAACUCUUUUAAAAUCUUUUUUUUUUCUGGAGUAAAAAUAAAGUCUGUGACAAAGAAUUGAUAUAUAGAUCCAAGACAAAAUUCAAAUACAACUUAUAAAACUUCUGAAUUCAAAGUCAAUUUUUGAUACUUGCAAGCCAGCUAGAGAAACAUGUUCAAUCCGUUUCUCUUCCACUUCCAUGUUCUCUAGUUUCUCUACUAAUCCACAGGGUAGAUUGAAUCCAAGGUUACCCUUUCCCUUGUGCUUUGUCUGCAGCUUCUCUGUAUCUGUUGAAGGCAUUGCUGUUCUCUAGACCAUUUAGGGUUAACUCCUGGGCCAACUGUCCGUUGAUUCUGUAUGUAGCCUCCCUGCAGACACUUACGUCUCUAGACCUUUUGCAUUUUGUGGCACUGAUAUCUUUGGUUGUGGCCUUCAGACUUGUCAGGAAAAAGGAAAUUAUAGUAGACAGGCUUGGAAGUGGCCUGCAUCCUUUUGACCAUGUUCUGUGGGCUCUAACCUGUCACACAGGGGCAUAUGGCUUUACUUGACUCUGCCUCUAUGUCGAAGGCUAGAGAAUGUUCUCUUUGUGCACACGAGGAAAUGGAGAUGGUUGGUAAGCAUAUAGCGUUGAUCUGGCCAAAUCUAUCAUGUUUGCUAAAACCCUCUCAAUAAAAUGUGUUUUAUUCAUAUUAUCAUAUUUAGGUUUUGAUUUAUAGAGUGAAUCUCUGGCAUUUUGAAUUAUUACCCAUUUAUCUUGAUUUAGUCAAUUGAGUGCAUGCAUAAGUAUGCUGAAUUCCAAAAAUGAAGAUAGCCAGGUCUCUGCCUUCAAGAGUUUGCCUUCUUGGAAGAGAAAUAGUCAUAAAUAAUUAGAAUAUAGUAUAAAAGGCAUAGCUAUUUAAAAAUUGCUAGUAAAGCAUACAGGAAAUAAUUUCUCAAUGGUGGGGAUUAUGUGUUGUUUGUGUAUCAUACAGGUCCACUGUAUGUGUGAGCAGUCUUAAAAAUGCUAAUAAGGUGGGGCUGGGAGUUUAGCUCAGCGGCAUAAGCACCUGCCUUGCAAGCAGGCGGUCGUGAGUUCGAUCCCCGGUACCGAUAAAAAUGAAAAAGACAAAAAAAAAAAAAUGCUAAUAAGGAAAAAAAUGAACAUAUUCCUAAGGAAUUUGAAAUACACUGAGGUGAUUAUAGAGGGACACAUACAGAUAGGGUUUUGUUUUUUCAUAAGUGAGUGUCAAAAUGACCACAGAAAUAUUAAAUGACAGCUUCAGACAUGUACCAACAGUAAAAUGUCAGAAAGCUUUAAAGAAUAUUGUCAAAGUUUGCCUUCUUGUAAACUAGGAAGUGGUAAAUUGAGGUAAAAACCUCUUCACAGGAUUGUAAAGUAUAAAAUUUUACUUUUCUGGGAUUUUGAGUUUGUAUUCAAACUAGUUAUAUGUAAUUUGGGUAGGUAGGGAGAUUUAAUAAUUUAAAGUUACAAAUAAUAACUAAGAUGCAAUGAAAAAAAACUUUUGCUUAGUUCUUCUUGAACGAACUAAAAGUUCUGAUCUUUCAUGUACCUACUGAAAGCUUUUAUUAAACUGUGAGUGAAUAUUGAAAUCACUUGAGUAACAUUUUCAGAUACUUGUUUCCACAUCAGAUUUUGUGAAUCAAUCACUGGAGAGCAGCACCUUAGUUGAAAAUCACUGAUUUAUUGUCACCCACCUCCUAGAAUAUCCUUACUUUGGCUUCCUAUGCUGCUAUAAUGAUUUACCAUGAAUUUAAUGGCCUGAAAUAACACAUUUACUAUCUCAAAGUUUUGAAGGUCAGAAGCCUAAAGUCAGUUUCACAGGGCUAAAAUCAAGGUGUCCCUUGGACUGUGCCCUUUCUGGUCCAUCUAAGGAAAGACCCAUUUCGUUGCCUUUUCCUCUUCAUGGGGUUCCUUGCGCAUCUUGGCUCACAGCUCUUUCCUGGAUUCACCCCAACUGCUGCUUCUGUCUUUACAUCUACUACUGACCACGCUUCUCCUAUGAGCCUCUCGUUAGGGGCUUUAUGAUUUCACUGGACCCCUUGUAGAACCUGCGAUGAUCUCCCAACACAUAAUCCUUAAUUUAGUAACAUCUACAAAGGCGUAUUUUACCGUGUAAAUUAACAUAGUCACAGAGUCUAGGAAAUAGGAUGUCUUUAAGAAGGCUUUACUCAAACUACCACCUUUUCUUCAUAUGUAAUUUUUAAAAUAUGAGAAUUAGAUUUAUGAGGAGUCAAUGAAAAGUUUAGGUGAAUAGAGCAUUCAACAUAAGAUCUGGUAUAAUCAGUAGUAAGGAAAUAUUAGAUAUUACACAUUUUAAAAUAACUUUUAAAAUAGAUACCCAAUAAGUGCAACAGUGUCUUGUUUUGUUCCCUGCCAUGUUUGUCUUGUAUGUAAUAAGGGUUCAAAAAAAAAAAAAAAGACCAAAGUACUCACUGCAUUAGUGAGUUAAUACCAAAUGUUUACAGUGGGUUCAUAUCAGCAUUUUAAUGUUUUACCUGUUUCGUGUAUGUAUCCUCUCAAUAAGCUUUAGAAACCAGAAAACUUGCAAUUUUAUAUGUAUAUUAUACAUUUUCUAAAGCUUUUCUGUAUCUACCAGAAGCUUGAGAUGUUGGUGUAUCUUAAUAAGAUAACUAUUAAGUUAGUUUCUUAAUUUAAUAUAAAGUCAGAUUGGGGUUAUGAAUAAAAUAUGAAAUAAUUUUAUAAAAUUAGUCCUAUAAACAUAUUGUGUAACUUUUCCACAACACCUCUAAUAAGUUCUACAGUUUUGCACAGAAAGAAUACUCAGCAUACAGCAGAAAAACCGGCGGGAAAGGAAAGCUGGCUUCCCAGAUGACCCUCAGCACUGCCUUGAUGGACUUUUCCCUAACACACAAAUUGAUCCUCUGCCUUUAAGACUCACACAUCUCAUUCUAUCAGUUCUGAAAGUGGAUCUCCUUAUCAGUAAUAGGAACAUACUGGUCAACCUUUGUGGAAACGAUGUAUAAAGUCAGAAGGCCAAACUUAAAUUGCAAAGAGAAAUAGAUUUGAAAGGUAAAAUAAUUCAAUUAGCAUAGUCAGCACUUUCUUUUUGAGGCAGAUAUUUGAGGAAGUCAAAUUAUAAACAUCAGGUCACCUGAAGAGCAUGACUUCUGAAGAUGAGCUGUUUAUAACUUGGACCUUGAAUGACCUCAGGUUACAACUCCCUAGAUAGGGCCAGUUUAACUGAGGGAGCUGUUAUCCUGAAAGUUCCCUGGCCAAGUCCCAUUUCCCUGUACUCUGAGAUGUUGGACCUUUUCCUACAACCAUGUGACUUCACUUUUACUGCAGUUUCAUUGCUGUUCUUUCUCUAUAGUUAAUGCAGUAUUUUGAGUAACAAAAGUUAAAUUAUCAAAAAUAAUUUUAUAGCAGAAAAUCUAUUCCAAACUUAUCCCUAACUCUUAUAAAUAACAAGAAUUGCUUAUGUGCAUCUUAUAUCCACAGAGGAGAAGGGAGAAUAUAGCAGUGUUGUUGAAGUCUUCUGGAGAAGAAGUCAGGCUUAUCUUCACUAAACCGUCUUAUGCUGUAAUUCAUCUCAGGUCACUUAAUUCAUCUAAGGUCUAACAACAUGGUUCUAGCAAUAUUUGCAUACCCAUCAGCUCUUAAAGGUAUCACACUGUUAAGGCUACUGACAAGAAGUGAGAAAGAAGACCAUUUGCAAGGCACUGAUAAUUAAAUUUUAUGUUAGUAACUGGAAUUUUAUAAUAUCCAGUUAAUGUAACUCAGGGAAAUGCAAAUUUUUGCCACUUUUAUCAGUCUAGAGCAGUCAGGAUUAAACAGAAAUGCGAAUAAGCAUUUUUGAAGGAUAAAUCUUGGUUCAUAAUCUUUAUUGAGUCAAAGCUAAAGUCCAUAGGUUACAUGGUAUAAUUUACUAAAUCUACAGAUUUUAGGAGGAACAAGCCAAACCUUUGUCAGGACCUGGCUUUAACUAUGAUCUCCAAAGUAGAUCACCAAGAUCUCUUAACAAGAUGUCCUAGUAACAGUGAUGAAGGAGGUGUACCAUUUCCCAGAUUUCUGCUUUGUGGUGUCAUAAUUUAGUCAUUGUUGACAAAUAAGUCCUGAGGUCUGUCCAGUUGCUGGGCCAUUGUGGUGAGUAGGAAAACCCAGUGUGGCAUUAUAAUUCUGUGAUGUUGACUAAUUAAUACAAAAUAAACAUUGGGUCUGGCUUCGAGGUAUUACAUCAGUUCUGUUGCUAUGAUAAAAUACCUGAGAGAGGUGUAGAAGGAAAAACAUAUUUUAAGUCAUGGUUUCAGUUCACGGUUGGCUGCCUUCAUUGAUUUUAGGCCUGUGGUAAGGCAGAGACUUCAUGGAAGAAGGGUACGACAGAGAAAACUGGUCACCUCCUGGAAAUCUGAAAGGAGAGUAAGGAAGAGAGACGGAGAAGGGUGGGACAGAGAUGGAAAAGGAGGAGGAGGGCAAACUGGGCACAAGUUAUGGUCCUCAAGGUUAUGGGCACAAAGUUAUGGUCCUCAACUUCAACUAAGUCUCACCCUUCAGUAGCUCAUCAGAUUUUGAACAAAUCAAUGGAUUAACCCAUUAAUGAAGUUAGAGCCCUCAUGAUCUAAUUACUUCUCCAGCUUCCCCUCUGAGUACUACUGCAGCGGGGACAAAAUGUUCAAUGCAUGAGUUUUGGGGAACAUUUCUGAUUCAAAUCAUAGCACAGUAUCCUUCCCAGAGAAAGCAGUAUGGAAGAAAAAACACAUAUAUGCCCCUCAGAAGUGAGACUGACCUCACAUCUGGACUUUCUGCAGCAAGGAGCUUUCCAACUUGAUAUAGAAGCCUUAGAAGCCAGCCAGUGACGGAUUGGCGUGGAAUUCAGCUGAUGAGCCUGAUAGAACCACACAGGGCGUGGCUACGGCAAACUUGUACUGUUCCUUGCCUUUGACGUUCGAUCUGUGUCCUCUGGCUUCGUAAACAGGUUGCUCUGCCUGUCAAAGCAUCUGGAGAGUGUCCAGUGUCUCUUAUAGUUCUUUCAUUGCAGGUGAGGGCAGUUUCUUUUUUGUCACUUAAAAAAAAUUUUGGUGCAUUGGGUCACAUGAUCGUGAUCACAUUCAUCAUACAAAAUUUGCACUGUGAGGGCACCAUUACACAAAUAGUAAAGGCACGGUUACAGAAUAGCAAACUUACAGACAGUUGUAGUAAAUUAAACCUUAAAUAGUGGCCUCUGCCUGUGCUCUUGCUGCUUGUCACGUAAGCACCAAUCAGCUAAACUCAGUCAGCCUCGCCUGUCUGGGUCUAGCUGCUUUUCUUCUGAUAAUGCACUGAGUCAAUUUGACUGUUCCCAGCGUGAAAAGAAUAUGUAUUGUUACCAUCUUGCUUCAAAGACUUUGGUUGGGGCAGAGUGGCUCAAUCAGGGAUACUUACCUUUACUUGCUCCACUCCAACCUCUUCCCCUUGCCCCGACCUAAUUCAUGUAACCAGUCAUCUGUCAUCUGCCUUGUACUUCCUGCUUGCAAACUGUAUUUAAACUGAACUCAAAGCUGACUCACUGCUGGUGAUUGAUUGAUUGAUUGAUUGACUGGUUGAUUUUGUCUUUUUGAGACAGGGUCUCUCUAUGCAGUUCAGGCUGGCCUUGAGCUCACUUUGUAGCCCAGGCUAGUCUCGAACCCACAACAACCCUCCUGCCUCAGCCUCCCAAAUGCUGGGAUUACAGGCAUGCACUAUCACGUCCAGUGGUUUGGAUUCUGCUAACAUCCCCCAGCCUGAUGAUGUUAAACUCAGUAAAGUUGCCUUCUAGAUCCCUCAGUGUAGAGAGACUUCCAUCCAAUUUGAUAUUGGUUUUUCUGCAACAUUUGGUGUGUUGGCCAGGAUGGCACCUUGCUGGCCACUUAGACUAUUGAUGUAGGCCUGCUGGCCACUGCUGGGGUCCAUCCCCUUAUCUGUGGACGAGAAGGCAUGCCCUCCAGAAUUUUCUGAGUCUUCUUAGCAAUCAAGAGAGCGGGCUUCUGUGCAACAGUAGAGACCUCAUUAGACCCUGAGAGGAGUCACAGGACAACUGCACCAGGCAUUCAGAUAAGGUAGGCCUGCCCUGGGUUGUGUGUGGCAGUAAGCCUGUUUACCUGCUUUUUACCUUCCCCAUGAUGGAUGAAGGAAGACCCUGAGGACUCCUUAACAUCUCACACCUGUUCCAGAUGUUGUCACAAGGCUAUCUGCAUAGCCUAACUUUAUGUCAUGACCUGGUCACCCAGGACCUGGCCACCUGGGCCAAGUCACACUGUGCCACUGCUUGUAUUGACGAUAUUAUGUUACCUUAUUGUCUUGAGGAUUUGAAAGUCACUGUGAAAUAUCUGGAGAAAGCUUUGCUGGCACAGGGGUGGGAUUAAAUGCAGGCAAGGUCCAGGGACCUGGCUUAUCUGUCAAAUUCUUGAGCGUUCUAUGGUCGGGAUGUUAGGGCACAAAUGUAUGAUAGUAAAGGCACGGUUAUAGAAUAGAAAACUUGUAAACAUGUUAUAGUAAUUGUUAGCCUCUGCCUUGCUCCUGCUGCCUGUCACAUAAACACCCUGCUAAAUGCAGUCAGCCUUGACUGUUUGAGUCCAGUUGCUCUUCUUCUGAUAAUGCGCUGGGCCAAUUUGACUAUUCAGCUCAUGUUUCCCUUAAUUAAGAAAAUAUAUUACUUCUAACUGGCUUCCAGCACUUUUAAUGAGGCAAUGUAACCCAGUCUAAGAUACUUUUUAAUGGUUUUCUCCACCUGAACCCGCUCCUUUCAUCCCCAAGAUGUUCCUAUGUUAUGAUAAACAAUUCCUUUUUAAGAAAAUAUAUUUAGAGUUAAUUUUCCUGGCAAUAUAUGACAUAUUCAAUUCAUGUAACCAACCAUAUAAUACUUUGUACUUCCUGCUUGUUAACCAUAUUUCAACUAGACUUGAAGUUGGUUCUUUGCUAGUGACUGGGACUUGGUCCCACCAGUCCGCUGGCAUAAUAAAUGGUUCUCUUCUCUAACGCCUCAGUGCAGAGAGUCUUCCAUUUGGUUUGAUAUUGGUUUUUCUGUAACAUUCUGGUGCAUUUGGCCAGGAAGACACUAUGCUGACCGCUUAAGGUUAUAGUAUAGGCAUGUCACUUUCUUCCUGGGUUUAUCCCCCAUCUGCAUGGGCCUGUUUAUGGAGUCUCCUUGGCAGUCGAGGGAUACAGGCCUUGCUGGACAGUGCAGCCCUCAGCAGACCUUGGGAGGAGUCAGACUGUGAUGAGGGCUGGGCCCUUUGAUAUGGUAAGGGAUACUCCUGGUCAUGUUCUGCAGUUUACCUCGGUAACCUGCUUGUUGCCAUCCUGUGGGCGAAGCAGGACCUGAUCACUCCUCAAGAUGACCUCUUCUGUCACCUGUUCCAGUUCAGAGGCAGCCACUGUUCCGAGGACCCAGUCACUCCUUAACAGCUACGUCUGACACCUGCUCUGGAUCCAGCUCUUGUUUUAGUCAGAGCAGUCAACUGCAGGAAGGACCCAAGAUGGAGCCAAGCUCUCUUCCUGGCUUUGCGAGCCCUAAGUCUCGUCCAUUCUUGACAUCACCAGCCUGGCACUGCCUGUGGGCAUCUGAAAGCUGGAGCAACUCCAGCCCUAGAGGAAUAAUAGCCAGAAUCCUCUGAAGCCUAAGAAAGUCUUGGAGGAGAAAUCAAAUUACAAAUUUUAACUGAAAAUUGUACUUUUGUUUUUCAGUUUGAGCUCAUAUAAAUAAAUUUCUUGUACAUUCUAAAGUUUUGAAUUUACUAGGUUAACUUGUUCUUUUCCCUACUCUGUUGUUUUAAAAACACUGAUUCAAAGUUUCUCAGAAGUCCAUUGGCAGUUGGUCAAGUUUACUAUCUGAGAAAAAAAAGGGACACUUUUAGGCUACAAAGUGAGCUCAAGGCCAGCCUGAACUGCAUAAAGAGACCCUGUCUCAAAAAGACAAAAAGACACACACACACACACACACACACACACACACACACAAAGGAGACACUUUAAAGUUCAAGCAGCUACAGGCAAGUUUAUUAUGGAAAGUAUAAGAAGGCUAUAAAUGUAAAAGGUAUGCAUUUGGUAUGAGAGGAAUCUACAUGACAGAAGCCUUGUCCUGCUAGAGAUAAGGGCGAUCAUGACAAGAGUAGAAAGCUUAUGUAUGACGAGGAAAGCUUGUGAAAGUAGUUUAUUACAAUAAAAUACAUGUAUGUUCACUUGUUAAUUUGGUGGAGCUCAGAUUGAUCCUUCUAAAAAUGCUCAUGAGGGAAACGGUCAAAUCAACAUGAGAUUACCAGUUAAAUGAUAGCCUUUUAAAAGCUUAUGUGAUGUUUAUGCUGUGUGUUACUUUACUCCGUACUAAGAUGGUCACUUCAAUGUAUUAUAAAAGUGAUGUUAUCAUGAUUGGCAAGCUGAAAUAUGUGUGGCCUCUGAUCUCAGCUUUCCUUGAAAAACUGUAUAACUUAUAUCUGUUAACACUCUGCAGGGUUUCAGCUGCUAGAACAGUGAUGGUUGACAGAAAAUAACAGUCCUUUGCCAUGCUUUAUAUUUCAAAGUACUUGAUAUUUAGAUAAAAUUAUAAUAAAUAAACCCACUGCAAUCCUAA